AGCUAUCUACGUUUGAUACGAUUUGGUACGUCAAACUUGUUACACUUAUUUUAAACAAAAACUUUCGAAUAUCCAAUAAAUUCAAUAGAAAAGCGCAAAUAAAAAUUGUUAAGCCUUAAGUCUAAAUAUGUUAAACGAGAUUAUUUCGCAUGUGCAUAAUAUAGCGCAUAAUUAUUGCAUGUCUCGUCCUAUAGUCGUUGCGACUGAAGCCGCCAGUCGUCCUAUAGUAAAGAAUUGUAUUUGGGCCAAUUUAAUAUUCUUUAUAGCUAUCUUCUCGCCGUUUUACAUGUGCUUACAGGCGAAAUAGGCCAUAAUUCACUAGGACAUGAUCCGACACCAAAUCGCACCGAUAUGUGACGGAUUAAAAACUCUAAUUAGAUAAGAUACACGAAAAUAAAUGGAAAAUUAUUUAUUGCAAUCAA